rnacentral:rRNA from 1 species
AUGGACAGCACCGCCCCGAACUCUUCUUCCGCCGCCGCCGUCGCCGCCGCGGCCGCGGCCGCUUCCGCUUCCGGUAACGGCGUACAAGGGGGAACGGGUGGGGACCGUCCCGAGGACCCGUCGAAGCAGAACCUGGCGCAGGUCACGGGCUCGAUCCAGAAGACCCUGGGCCUGCUCCACCAGCUCAACCUCAACGUCUCCUCCUUCAGCUCCGCGUCCCAGCUCCCCCUCCUCCAGCGCCUGAACGCGCUCGUGGCGGAGCUCGACACGAUGCAGAAGCUCGCCGACGGGUGCAACAUCCAGGUGCCCAUGGAGGUCGUCAAUUUGAUUGAUGACGGGAAGAACCCCGAUGAGUUCACCAGGGACGUGCUCAACAGCUGCAUCGCCAAGAACCAGAUCACCAAGGGCAAGACCGAUGCUUUCAAGAGCCUGAGGAAGCAUCUUCUUGAGGAGCUGGAAGAAGCUUUUCCAGAUGACGUUGAAGCGUACAGACAGAUACGUGCUACCUCUGCUGCUGAGUCAAAGAGGUUGGCUCAGUCCCAAAGUGCUUUGCCUAAUGGAGAUGCCAAAGUGAAACCUGAGCAUUGA